ACUUACCUGAAAAGGACUGUUGUCUGUAGGGUCAGCAAACGGAUUACUGUCAAAGUUAGACAUUUUAGGUACUUCUCCUUCUUUUCGAUAGGGGAUGAAAUUCACUCAAAU